UACUUUGAUGAAAAAAUCCUAAGCAAGAUU
rnacentral:piRNA from 1 species